rnacentral:snRNA from 12 species
AGGUGAGACACCAUGCUCACAAAGGUGUUUUUCCCAGGGAAAGACCUGUCCCUUGCACAUGGGGUGUGCCAACACCUGCUAUUUCCCCAAAUGCCAGGAACUUGACU